GAGCCUAAUCCAGAGUCUCCUCACACAAGCACAGAGGAACAGAGCUCUCCUGUGGCUGGCGUUCUCAGGAGAAUUGUAGCUAGCAAGAAAGCGGCAGCAUGACGUCGGCGGCAGGUGAUGGUGUGAGCAGGAAGACGGCGUGUGUCACCGGAGGUAGCGGCUACAUCGCCUCGGCGCUCGUGAAAAUGCUGCUGGAGAAGGGAUAUGCCGUGAAGACGACGGUCAGGAACCCCGAUGACGAGGUGAAGAACGCUCAUCUCAAGGACUUGCAAGCGCUCGGUCCCCUGGAGGUGUACCGCGCUGACCUGGAGGAAGAGGGCAGCUUCGACGACGCCGUUGCCGGCUGCGACUAUGCCUUCCUCGUCGCCGCUCCAGUGGCCCUCAUGCCAGAGAACCCCGAGGAAGAGGUGAUCCAGCCGGCCAUCCGAGGAACCCUGAACGUGAUGAGGUCGUGCGUCAAGGCAGGGACGGUGAAGCGCGUGAUCCUGACGUCGUCGACGGCCGCGGUCUCGAGCCGGCCGCUGGAAGGCGACGGCCAUGUCCUGGAUGAGGAGUCCUGGUCCGAUGUCGAAUACCUCAGAGAGAAGAAGAUCGGCACGUGGGCGUACCCUGCCUCGAAAGUGCUGGCAGAGAAGGCGGCUGUGGCGUUCGCGGAGGAGAACGGCAUGAGCCUGGUCACCUUGUGCCCCGUCGUGGUGGUGGGCGGUGCCCCGGCGACGAAAGUCAAGACCAGCGUCCCCGAGUUGCUCUCCCUGCUAUCCGGCGACGAUGACAUGGUCGACAAGCUGGAGCUCAUCGAGGCGGCCUCUGGCUCGAUCCCGCUGGUCCACAUCGACGACGUCUGCGGCGCCGAGAUCUUCGUCGCCGAGGCGGAGGCACCGGCGGGGCGGUACAUCGUGUGCACCCUCAACACCACCGCCAUUGAGCUCGCCCGUUUCCUCCACGCCAAGUACCCGCAGUACGAGCUCAACAUCGAUCACAUUGGUGCUCUCCCGGAGAAGCCCAGAGUCUCCAUCUGGUCGGACAAGCUCCAAAAGGAAGGGUUCCAGUACAAGUACAAUAACCUGGACCAGGUAUACGACGACAUCGUCCCGUACGGCAAGAAAUUGGGAAUCCUUCCGAAAUGAUACUUUGGUCCUCUCGAUCGUGCGAUCUCAGAACCAAACUAGCCGCUUACAACUUGCAAGUAUUCUGAAGUGUGGUUGUUCAGUUCAGUGUAUGACUGUAUGUGAAAAUAAGGGCAAGACUGUCCGAAUAUGCGGUGGCGUGGUGGCUGAGAUGUGUCUAAUGGCUCGGCAGGCUCGUUGUUGGUUGAAUUCUGUCGAAUUUAGUACACAUAGAGGAACUCAUGUAUUCAUUGCCCCUGAACCUCGUCAAUAUUUUUGUAUGUAUUUUUGCGAUUGCUUGUCCUCGUAUGACUGAUAUUGUACUUUGAUUCUUUUACGGUUAUCAAAACAACAGAAGUGUAGGAAAUAUCUUGAGUAACGUGGUCAUGGAACAAACUAUUGAGUAAUGUGGCAAGGAGAAGAAGGUCUUCAAGACCAACCUCCUUGCCGAGGUGGAUACUCUGGAUCGUGAAGCAGAUUCCAAUUGGUUAGAUGAGGAUGGAUGGGCCCUCUCAUAUUACCCGGAGGACCAUCUUGUGCACCUUGCUAACAUUGUGGAAGAAUAGUGGCGCCAAAGGAGUCGAGUCCAGUGGCUCCUGAAGGGGGAUGCGUGCAUGUAUUUUUUUUUCCAUGACAUUGCCAAUGUCAGGAGAAGCAAAUGCAACAUCCCAAGGUUCAUCACUGAUCAUGGGGAUAUCUCUGAGCAAAGAGACAUCCUAGCACA